rnacentral:rRNA from 1 species
UACGGGAGGCAGCAGUGGGGAAUAUUGCACAAUGGGCGCAAGCCUGAUGCAGCCAUGCCGCGUGUAUGAAGAAGGCCUUCGGGUUGUAAAGUACUUUCAGUCGUGAGGAAGGUGUUAAGGUUAAUAACCUUAGCAAUUGACGUUAGCGACAGAAGAAGCACCGGCUAACUCCGUGCCAGCAGCCGCGGUAAUACGGAGGUGCGAGCGUUAAUCGGAAUUACUGGGCGUAAAGGGCACGCAGGCGGUUAAUUAAGUUGGAUGUGAAAUCCCCGGGCUUAACCUGGGAAUGGCAUUCAAGACUGGUUAGCUAGAGUCUUGUAGAGGGGGUAGAAUUCCAUGUGUAGCGGUGAAAUGCGUAGAGAUGUGGAGGAAUACCGGUGGCGAAGGCGGCCCCUGGACAAAGACUGACGCUCAUGUGCGAAAGCGUGGGGAGCGAAAC